AAGACGCAGUAUGGAUGUAUCCCGAAAGCGAUCCACUAUCCUAUACGGAGGUGAAUACCUCACGAAGGAGUAGUUUUUCACUUCCACUUAAGAGGGUGAAAUCGACCAAUAAUGCGAUGCGAUAUGCAAAGAUACCUUAAAGAAUUAAACCACUUAAAGCAAGCAUAUUAUGAAGAGAGUCGCGAAAAUAACAGACAACAUGCAAUGCAGUAAAUUUAAAAUUGAUUUUCGAUUUUUGACAAAAGACAAAAAAAAUA
rnacentral:lncRNA from 1 species